UCUCCGUAGGUGAACCUGCGGAGGGAUCAUUACAGAGUUCAUGCCCUACCGGGUAGAUCUCCCAUCCUAUGUUAUUAUUACUUUGUUGCUUUGGCGGGCCGUUAGGCUCCGGCCCGACUACCGGCCCCGGCUGGUAAGCGUCCGCCAGAGGACCCAAAACCCUGAAUAUUAGUGUCGUCUGAGUACUAUAUAAUAGUUAAAACUUUCAACAACGGAUCUCUUGGUUCUG
rnacentral:misc_RNA from 1 species